AAUAUCCAACUAAAACAUGAAUCUCAAGGACAUAACACUGUUGAACGGAUGAAUUUCUGCAUUCGCAAAACCAGAUAGAUAGGGGCUACCCCGGCUACCCCACAAAGUAUACAUGACAUUGAGGUGAACAAUGCUUAAGUGCUCAUACACGAGAUUAUACAAGUGAGAUUGAAAACAAACAAAGAGCUAAGAUGUAAGUAGGAUUUGGUGUUAUGAAUGGGACGCACAUCAGUUCAUGCAAUUCAAACUGCUCACAACCUGGCUGACAGACCCUGAAAGUUACAGAAGCAUCUAUUCACAAAAAAUUAAUUGUAUCCUCUAUAAAAUACACCCUAUCCACAGAAGCAAUGGAGAACGAUAAGAGGAAGAAUAUAUGCAGGAUGACCACAAAUUUUUAAAAUAA